rnacentral:rRNA from 1 species
GACGAACGCUGGCGGCGUGCUUAACACAUGCAAGUCGAACGGAAAGGCCCUGCUUUUGUGGGGUGCUCGAGUGGCGAACGGGUGAGUAACACGUGAGUAACCUGCCCUUGACUUUGGGAUAACUUCAGGAAACUGGGGCUAAUACCGGAUAGGAGCUCCUGCUGCAUGGUGGGGGUUGGAAAGUUUCGGCGGUUGGGGAUGGACUCGCGGCUUAUCAGCUUGUUGGUGGGGUAGUGGCUUACCAAGGCUUUGACGGGUAGCCGGCCUGAGAGGGUGACCGGCUAAGGGGGGACGAGGAGGCGGGCAAGGAGCGGGGGGGGGGCAGGAGGGGGGAAUAGUGCAGGAGGGGGGGAGGAGAGAGGCAGCAGCGGGGGGGGAGGGUGGACGGGCGUGGGGUUGUAACAUGCUUCGGGGUGAGAGGAGGGGUGAGGGAAGGGGAGAGGAAAAGAAGCGCCGGAAACCAAGGGGCCAGCAGCAGGGGUAAGAAGAGAAAGAGAACUCGUAUAAC